rnacentral:rRNA from 1 species
CAUGGGUGGAAGCACGGCGACGUGUGGAGCUGAAUGAUACUAAUCGGUCGAGGCUUUGAUCUA